CCACCCGGACAGCGACAAGGAGAAGGAGGUCGAGGACGAACACCCGGACAGCGACAAGGAGAAGGAGGUCGAGGACGAACACCCGGACAGCGACAAGGAGAAGGAGGUCGAGGACGAACACCCGGACAGCGACAAGGAGAAGGAGGUCGAGGACGAACACCCGGACAGCGACAAGGAGAAGGAGGUCGAGGACGAACACCCGGACAGCGACAAGGAGAAGGAGGUCGAGGACGAACACCCGGACAGCGACAAGGAGAAGGAGGUCGAGGACGAACACCCGGACAGCGACAAGGAGAAGGAGGUCGAGGACGAACACCCGGACAGCGACAAGGAGAAGGAGGUCGAGGACGAACACCCGGACAGCGACAAGGAGAAGGAG